GUGAACAUUCUAUGAAGAUGGCGGCGAGUGUUGAGUGCAACAAUACGAUAGCGUCUCUGAAAGAAGUUCCCUUUAGUCGUCGUACCAAUGAGGAGAAAACAGCAAUCAAACAGCUAGGACCUCCUAGACCGAAUUUAAACAUCAAGCAAGUGUCUACGAAGGGGGAGAAGACCUACUCAAGAGGUUUUAACAAGAACUGGUACCACCGGAAAACUUGGCUAGCUGGCUGUGAUGUAGUCAAUGCUCUUUUUUGCUCCCCUUGCAUUCUCACACCCUGGAAGUAGCACAGCAGACGUGACACCCUCAGUGGACUCGCAGUCAAGCUGUAUCAGACCAGUGAUAAGGAGUUCCCAGGGCAGACCCAGGAUCCAUGGAAGAGAUUACGUCUCCCUCCUGAACGACUGGAGAUCCUGCAGAAGAAGCCAGAACUCUGGGACUAAAAGUCUGGACUGACAUUGUCAGCCUGUUGCCACGGCUACCACCACGACAAGCAGAAGUAAAAUAAAUGACUGAGCAGGGGUUUUUUGUUUUGUUUUUUUUCAUAAAAUGCUUGUUUGAAUCCUUAAA